CACGCGCCACACCCUAAACUGCUAGCCGGCAUGCGCGCGCAGGUCGCUGACUCAGGCCUCGGCCACUAAAAACCAAGAUAGGGUGUUGUGACGUCAUCACGUUGCAGCCCGCCGGGACGCACGUUGAAUAGCGAUGGGGCGGAGCGAGUUCGGUUGCACCAACACCGGUACAUAGGCGCGGGCCGGCGUGUCCUUGGACUUAAAGAGCGGGACGUCCGGCUGGUGAAGGGUAGCGCUUGGCUGUCGCGCGAGGAGAGAGCGCGAGCAGAAACGACUCCGAGGAGGGUCAUUUCCUGGCUGCCCGUCGUUCUCGCGUGGGACAGACAGACAUCCUGGCCGUCGCCCUGCUCCCCCGCCAGGCUCGGUGGGCGGCCUCGUGGUCGCGUCCCGGGGCGCCUCGCACCCACGACCCCGCGGUGUGGGGUG